CGGGAGAACCCUCCUUAAGGAAUUCGGCAAAUUAGAUCCGUAACUUCGGGAGAAGGAUCGCCCCUGGAGGUGUACCGGUAUACCCGGGAAGCUGACGGGGGCCGCAGUGAGCAGGCCCAGGCGACUGUUUAUCAAAACCACAGGUCUCUGCAAAAGCGAAAGCUGACGUAUAGGGGCUGACGCCUGCCCAGUGCCGGAAGGUUAAGGGGAGAGCUUCACGGCUUGAACCGAAGCCCCGGUGAACGGCGGCCGUAACUAUAACGGUCCUAAGGUAGCGAAAUUCCUUGUCGGGUAAGUUCCGACCCGCACGAAAGGCGUAACGAUCUGGGCACUGUCUCGAGGGGGGACCCGGCGAAAUUGAAUUGACCGUGAAGAUGCGGUUGACCCGCGGCAGGACAAAAAGACCCCGUGGAGCUUUACUGCAGUUUGGCACUGGGAGUGGGCCUGGGAUGCGUAGGAUAGGUGGGAGGCGUUGAAGCCGGGCUUUUGGGCUCGGUGGAGCCAUCCUUGAAAUACCACCCUUCCUUGGUCUGCUUUCUAACUCCUGAGCAAGCAGGAGGACAGUGUCUGAC
rnacentral:rRNA from 1 species